GGAGGGGUGCCCGAGUGGUUAAAGGGGACGGGCUGUAAACCCGUUGGCUAUGCCUACGUUGGUUCAAAUCCAACCCCCUCCACCA
rnacentral:tRNA from 1 species